UUAUUGUCCACUAUUUUGAACUAGUUUUAAAUAAGGGGCAUUUUGUAAAUUUGGAAUAAACAAAACGAUAUUCUUCAUUAUUCAGUUGUUACGAUACUCUGGUUUUCUCAUUCCAUUUGUACUAGUUUGUGAAGAAAUUGUUGAUGCAUACGACGGUACUCUAUUUUUUUAUUUUAUUUUCUUUAGAAGCCUUCAAGUUUCAACUGGUCUAUUUGUAAUUUUGUAUCAAUGUAUUAAUGAGUAUGGAGGCCUUCACAGUGUUAUUUAAUUUUGUUACAAUUCAUAGUGAUUUUAUUAAUAGAGUUGAAUUGGUAAUGCGACAAAUUAAUGUGAAGUAUUUGGUCUUGUAA
rnacentral:lncRNA from 1 species